GACAGAGUAGCGUAGUAGUUUGAGUACUGGACUACGACUCUGGAGACUAGGGUUCAAAUCUCCACUUGGCCA